CUGGGUUCAGAACGUCGUGAGACAGUUCGGUCCAUAUCCAUCGCGGGCGUAAGAGAUUUGAAGGGAGCUGCUCCUAGUACGAGAGGACCGGAGUGGACGAACCAACGGUGUACCAGUUAUGACGCCAGUUGUACAGCUGGGUAGCUGCGUUCGGAAGGGAUAAACGCUGAAAGCAUCUAAGCGUGAAACCCGCCUUGAGAUGAGAUCUCUCACAGAGUAAUCUGGUAAGACUCCUUAUAGACGAUGAGGUAGAUAGGCUGGAAGUGGAAGCGUGGUGACAUGUGAAGCGGACCAGUACUAAUAAGUCGAGGGCUUAACUU
rnacentral:rRNA from 1 species